CGAUAGCGCAUAGUACCGUGAGGGAAAGGUGAAAAGAACCCCGGGAGGGGAAUGAAAGAGAACCUGAAACCGUAUGUUUACAAGCAGUCGGAGACCGUAUAUAUACCAGGUCGACGGCGUGCCUAUUGAAGAAUGAACCAGCGAGUUACGAGGACCGGCAAGGUUAAGCAGGAAAUGCGGAGCCGAAGCGAAAGCGAGUCUUAAUAGGGCGAGAGUCGGAAUGCGUAGACCCGAAACCACAGUGAUCUACUCAUGUCCAGGCUGAAACACAGGUAAAAAUGUGCGGAGGGCCGAACCUAUAUCUGUUGAAAAAGGUUAGGAUGAGGUGUGGGUAGGGGUGAAAUUCCAAUCGAACGUGGAGAUAGCUGGUUCUCCCCGAAAUAGCUUUAGGGCUAGCCUCAGGUGGUGAUUACAGGCGGUAGAGCACUGAUCAGGAGAGGGACCUACCCGGUUACCAAACCCAGUCAAACUCCGAAUGGCUGUAAUCAAACCUGGGAGUCAGACUACGACUUAUAAGGGCCGUGGUCAAGAGGGAAACAGCCCAGAUCAUCAGCUAAGGUCCCAAAUGCCGUGCUAAGUGGCGAAGGAUGUGGCGUUUCAUAAACAACCAGGAUGUUGGCUCAGAAGCAGCCACCAUUCAAAGAGUGCGUAAUAGCUCACUGGUCGAGAGACUCUGCGCCGAAGAUGUCCGGGGCUCAAGCACGGAACCGAAGCUAUGGCAGAUUGCUUGCAAUCUGGGUAGGGGAGCGUUCUUAUCACGGAGAAGCGGUACCGUAAGGAGCCGUGGAGAGGUAAGAAGUGAGAAUGCUGGUAUGAGUAUCGAAAAGGCUGGUGAGAAUCCAGCCCACCGAAAGCCCGAGGGUUCCUGAGCAACGAUCGUCGUCUCAGGGUAAGUCGGGACCUAAGCCGAGGCAAAGACGCAUAGGCGAUGGAGAACAGGUUGAAAUUCCUGUACCGGAGCAGUCCGUCUGAGUGAAGGAGUGACGCAGCAGGGCACACGAGCAUGCGGUUGGAAGAGCAUGUCUAAGCCCGUAGCCCGUAUGGCAGGGAAAUCCGCCAUGCAGAAGGGUGAGAAGUGAUGGGGAGUUAAAGGCAACUUUGACGAACUCGUGAAUCCCACACUGCCAAGAAAAGCUUCUAGCAAGGACUGAUCCGCCCGUACCGUAAACCGACACAGGUAGGCGGGGAGAGAAUCCUAAGGUGCGCGGGAAAACCCUCGUUAAGGAACUCGGCAAAUUGCAUCCGUAACUUCGGAAGAAGGAUGGCCCUGAGUAGGCGAAGAGUCUUGCACUUGGAACCGGAAAGGGCGGCAGAAAAGAGGCCCAAGCAACUGUUUACCAAAAACACAGGUGCCUGCGAAAGCGAAAGCUGACGUAUAGGUGCUGACGCCUGCCCGGUGCUGGAAGGUUAAGGAGAGAGGUUAGCACAAGCGAAGCUUUGAACUGAAGCCCCAGUGAACGGCGGCCGUAACUAUAACGGUCCUAAGGUAGCGAAAUUCCUUGUCGGGUAAGUUCCGACCCGCAUGAAAGGCGUAAUGAUUUGGGCACUGUCUCAACGAGGGGCCCGGUGAAAUUGAAAUACCUGUGAAGAUGCAGGUUACCCGCGACUGGACAGAAAGACCCCAUGGAGCUUUACUGCAGCUUGAGACGGAAUCUCGGAAGUAGACGCACAGGAUAGGUGGGAGGCUACGAAACAUACACUUAGGUGGAUGUGGAGCCGCUGUUGGGAUACCACCCUUCUAGUUCUGGGAUUCUAACGCGAGGAGUAACGACCCUGCGGACAAUCUCAGGCAGGCGGUUUGACUGGGGCGGUCGCCUCCGAAAGAGUAACGGAGGCGCCCAAAGGUUCCCUCAGGCCGGACAGAAACCGGCCGACGAGUGCAAAGGCAGAAGGGAGCUUGACUGCGAGACCCACAAGUCGAGCAGAGACGAAAGUCGGGCUUAGUGAUCCGGUGGCCCUGCGUGGAAAGGCCAUCGCUCAACGGAUAAAAGCUACCCUGGGGAUAACAGGCUAAUCUCUCCCAAGAGUCCAUAUCGACGGGGA
rnacentral:rRNA from 1 species